AGUUCGAUCCUGGCUCAGAUUGAACGCUGGCGGAUGCUUUACACAUGGUUUGUCAGCAGCACGGACUUCGGUCUGCGGCGAGUGGCGAACGGGUGAGUAAUGUAUCGGAACGUGCCUAGUAGCGGGGGAUAACUACGCGAAAGCGUAGCCAAUACCGCAUACGCCCUUCGGGGGAAAGCGGGGACCUCCGGGCCUCGCACUAAUAGAGCGGCCGAUAUCGGACGAAUAGAAGCCAGGUAACGGCUCACCAAGGCGACGAUCCGUAGCUGGUUUGAGAGGACGACCAGCCACACUGGACCAGACACGGCCCAGACUCCUACGGGGAGGCAGUGGGGAAUUUUGGACAAUGGGGAACCUGAUCCAGCCACCCCGCGUGUGCGAUGAAGGCCUUCGGGUUGUAAAGCAAUUUUUGGCAGGAAAAGAAACGGCACGGGAUAAUACCCCGCAACUGACGGUACCUGCAGAAUAAGCACCGGCUAACUACGUGCCAGCAGCCGCGGUAAUACGUAGGGUGCAAGCGUUAAUCGGAAUUACUGGGCGUAAAGCGUGCGCAGGCGGGUUCGGAAAGAAAGAUGUGAAAACUCAGAGCUUAACUUUGGAACUGCAUUUUUAACUACCGAGCUAGAGUGUGCCGAGAGGUGGACCUGCGUGUAGCAGUGAAAUGCGUAGAUAUGCGGAGGAACACCGAUGGCGAAGGCAGCCUCCCUGGGAUAACACUGACGCUCGCACGAAAGCGUGGGAGCAAACAGGAUUAGAUAAUUCCUGGUAAUCCACGCCCUAAACGAUGUCAACUAGCUGUUGGGGCCUUCGCCUUGUAGCGCAGCUAACGGUGAAGUUAACUGCUCAGAGCAUGGUCGCAAGAUUAAAACUCAAAGGAAUUGACGGGGACCCGCACAAGCGGUGGAUGAUGUGAUUAAUCUUCGAUGCAAACGCGAAAAACCUUACCUACUCCUUGAUAAGGUCUGGAAUCCCGAAGAGAUUUGGGAGUGCUCGCAAGAGAACCGGUUAUUAUAGUUGCAAGGGACAGUCGUCAGCCUGCCGAUGUUGGGUUAAGUCUCAACGAGCGUGAACCCGGUUUAGUUAGCGCGAAAGGGCACUCUACACUUAUAUCCGCCAGACAAACUGGAGAAGGUGGAUGACGCCAAGUCCUCAUGGCCCUUGCGGGUGGUUUAAGACGUCAUACAAUGGUCGGGACAGGAUCGCCAACCCGCGAGGGGAGCUAACCAGAAACCGAUCGUAGUCUGAUCGCAGUCUGCAAACCUGACUGCGUGAAGUCGGAAUCAAGCAGUAAUCGCGGAUCAGCAUGUCGCGGUGAAUACGUUCCUGGCCCGUACACACCGCCCGCCACCCAUGGGAGUGGGUUUUACCAGAAGUAGUUAGCUCAAUCCGUAAGGGAGGCGAUUACCAUUGCGGUAGGAUUCAUGACUGGGGUGAAGUCGUAACAAGGUAG
rnacentral:rRNA from 1 species